GAUGAACGCUGACAGAAUGCUUAACACAUGCAAGUCAACUUGAACUUCGGUUUGGGUGGCGGACGGGUGAGUAACGCGUAAAGAACUUGCCUCACAGCUAGGGACAACAUUUGGAAACGAAUGCUAAUACCUGAUAUUAUGAUUUUAGGGCAUCCUAGAAUUAUGAAAGCUAUAUGCGCUGUGAGAGAGCUUUGCGUCCCAUUAGCUAGUUGGAGAGGUAACGGCUCACCAAGGCGAUGAUGGGUAGCCGGCCUGAGAGGGUGAACGGCCACAAGGGGACUGAGACACGGCCCUUACUCCUACGGGAGGCAGCAGUGGGGAAUAUUGGACAAUGGACCAAGAGUCUGAUGCAGCAAUUCUGUGUGCACGAUGAAGUUUUUCGGAAUGUAAAGUGCUUUCAGUUGGGAAGAAAAAAAUGACGGUACCAACAGAAGAGGUGACGGCUAAAUACGUG
rnacentral:rRNA from 1 species